GGUUCAACUUCCAGACAACGAUAAUGAGACGGAUUCCUGUAGCCAAGUGAAUGUUACACCCGUGAAAAGACCAAACCCACUGGCUCGGAUAUGGAAAAAGAGAAAAACCAAGAAAUCGGUGAAGUUUGCAGAUUCUCUCAAAUCUGUAACUCCCAUUGAGAUUGUGAAUUCUGAGAGUGAAGAAGAGGAAAGGGAGACGAGAUCGGAAGAAGAGAAGAGAAGUCCUUCUAAUGUAAAUACAGAACAUUCCACCCUCCUUUAUCAUUCUAAUAUUAUAUGUUCCCCCAAUGUCUGUCUUAUCCUGGAACCAGCAUGUGAUUUGUGGCUCCUGUCAGUGUCCUGCCAUCACUAAUUCACUCCCCAAUAACAAUAUUAUCACUGUGUU